rnacentral:tRNA from 1 species
GGCCCCAUCGUCUAACGGUUAGGACAUCGCCCUUUCACGGCGGUAACCGGGGUUCGAAUCCCCGUGGGGUCACCA